rnacentral:snRNA from 1 species
AUGCUCACUUCAGCAGCAUAUAUAUAUAUUAAAAUUGGAACAAUACAGAGAAGACUAGCAUGGCCCCUAUGCAGAAAUGACAUGCGAAUUUAUGAAGCAUUUAUUUUU